rnacentral:rRNA from 1 species
AGAGUUUGAUCCUGGCUCAGAUUGAACGCUGGCGGAAUGCUUUACACAUGCAAGUCGAACGGCAGCACGGGUGCUUGCACCUGGUGGCGAGUGGCGAACGGGUGAGUAAUAUACCGGAACGUAUCCAAUAAUGGGGGAUAACUAAUCGAAAGGUUGGCUAAUACCGCAUACGCCCUACGGGGGAAAGCUAGGGACCUUCGGGCCUGGCGUUAAUGGAGCGGCCGAUAUCUGAUUAGCUAGUUGGUGGGGUAAAAGCCCACCAAGGCGACGAUCAGUAGCUGGUCUGAGAGGACGACCAGCCACACUGGAACUGAGACACGGUCCAGACUCCUACGGGAGGCAGCAGUGGGGGAUUUUGGACAAUGGGCGCAAGCCUGAUCCAACCAUUCCGCGUGAGUGAAGAAGGCCUUCGGGUUGUAAAGCUCUUUCGCAAGGGAAGAAAACUUAGCCUCUAACAUAGGCUGAGGUUGACGGUACCUUGAUAAGAAGCACCGGCUAACUACGUGCCAGCAGCCGCGGUAAUACGUAGGGUGCGAGCGUUAAUCGGAAUUACUGGGCGUAAAGCGUGCGCAGGCGGCUAUUUAAGUCUGAUGUGAAAUCCCUGGGCUCGACCUAGGAACUGCGUUGGAAACUGAAUAGCUAGAAUAUGUCAGAGGGGGGUAGAAUUCCACGUGUAGCAGUGAAAUGCGUAGAGAUGUGGAGGAAUACCAAUGGCGAAGGCAGCCCCCUGGGAUAAUAUUGACGCUCAUGCACGAAAGCGUGGGGAGCAAACAGGAUUAGAUACCCUGGUAGUCCACGCCCUAAACGAUGUCUACUAGUUGUUGGUGGAGUAAAAUCCAUGAGUAACGCAGCUAACGCGUGAAGUAGACCGCCUGGGGAGUACGGUCGCAAGAUUAAAACUCAAAGGAAUUGACGG